AAUAGAUACCCGGGUAGUCCACCCCGUAAACGUUGGGAACUAGUUGUGGGGGACCAUUCCACGGUUUCCGUGACGCAGCUAACGCAUUAAGUUCCCCCGCCUGGGGGAGUACGGCCGCAAGGCUAAAAACUCAAAGGAAUUGACGGGGGACCCGCACAAGCGGCGGAGCAUGCGGAUUAAUUCGAUGCAACGCGAAGAACCUUACCAAGGCUUGACAUAUACGAGAACGGGCCCAGAAAAUGGUCAACUCUUUGGACACUCGUAAACAGGUGGUGCAUGGUUGUCGUCAGCUCGUGUCGUGAGAUGUUGGGUUAAGUCCCGCAACGAGCGCAACCCCUCGUUCUAUGUUGCCAGCACGUAAUGGUGGGAACUCAUGGGAUACUGCCGGGGUCAACUCGGAGGAAGGUGGGGAUGACGUCAAAUCAUCAUGCCCCUUAUGUCUUGGGCUUCACGCAUGCUACAAUGGCCGGUACAAAGGGCUGCAAUACCGUAAGGUGGAGCGAAUCCCAAAAAGCCGGUCCCAGUUCGGAUUGAGGUCUGCAACUCGACCUCAUG
rnacentral:rRNA from 1 species